GAUGAACGCUGGCGGCGUGCCUAAUACAUGCAAGUCGAACGAACAGACCACGACGUUGCUCGACUGACGUUAACGGCGGACGUGAGAGUAACACAUGGAUAAACUACCUAUAAGACUGUGAUAAAUACGGGAAACCGUACCUCAUACCGGAUAAUAUAUUAAACCGCAUGGUUCAAUAGUGUAAGCCGGUAUUGCUGUCGCUUAUAGAUGGAUCCGCGGCGCAUUAGCUAGUUGGUAAGGUAACGGCUUACCAAGUCAACGAUGCGUAGCAGACCUGAGAGGGUGACCGGCCACACUGGAACUGAGACACGGUCCAGACUCCUACGGGAGGCAGCAGUAGGGAAUCUUCCGCAAUGGGCGAAAGCCUGACGCAGCAACGCCGCGUGAGUGAUGAAGGUCUUCGGAUCGUAAAACUCUGUUAUUAGGGAAGAACAAAUGUGUAAGUAACUAUGCACGUCUUGACGGUACCUUAUCAGAAAGCCACGGCUAACUACGUG
rnacentral:rRNA from 1 species